GCCAGCACUCCCAGCCAGGACUGAACCAGCACUCCUAGCUAGGACUGAGGCAGCACUCCCAGCCAGGACUGAGGCAGCAUUCAAAGCAAGGACUGAGGCAGCACUCCCAGACAGGACUGAGGCAGCACUCCCAGCCAGGACUGAGGCAGCACUCAAAGAAAGGACUGAGCCAGCACUCCCAGCCAGGACUGAGCCAGCACUCCCAGCCAGGACUGAGCCAGCACUCCCAGCCAGGACUGAGGCAGCACUCCCAGCCAGGACUGAGGCAGCACUCCCAGCCAGGACUGAGCCAGCACUCCCAGCCAGGACUGAGGCAGCACUCCCAGCCAGCAGUGAUACAGAUCCUUCAGAGUAAAAGUGUCCCAGGUUGCCAGGUUUAUUGGAUUUGUUUUCAUGGCUGACUGACCUCUGCCCAUAAGAUAGAAACCUAUUAUCCUUCUGUCAGCAUUCUGUUGCUGUGAAUAAUGGUGGAAGUAAAUAGAAAACUUCUGGAUUUACUGAAAUUGCCAGGAAACUCGGAAUGUGCAGACUGCGGCAACCCAG
rnacentral:lncRNA from 1 species